GCAUUUGAUCUCCUACAAGUAGUCUUCCCUUGGGAAGGCAGUUUGGAUCCCAGUAUAGAGGUUAAGAGUACAGACUCUGGAACUAGACUGUCUGGUUUCAAAUCUUGGCUCUGCCACUCCUGGCUGUGUAACCUUAGGCAAAUUACUUAACAUCUCUGUUUCAGUUUCUUAAUCUAUAAAAUGGGUAUUAAAAUAGGCCCAAGCUCAUAGGCUUCUUGUGAGGAUUGAAAAUCCUGUGUGCACACGCUGUAUAGAACAAAGCCUGGCACAUCGUAAGCCCAACUGCAGUGUUAGCUAUCACCCCUAAGGUAAUGUGUCAGGAAAGCAACCUGGGUCUAGAGUGGUGGGAGAGUGACUUCUAGGGCACAGGAGAACAGAGUACAACAGAAAGGCAGGAGCAUGCGUGAUAGAGGGGGUGUUGGUGGUCACAGCAGGGUUGGUAAGAUCUUGGAUGUGCUGACAGAGUCAGGAUGUCCUUGCACAGGUGGCACUCUGCUUUCCCCAUUGGGGUUGGUUCAAGGCUGCAGAUUUAGCCUGUGGGGUGGAGGCUUGGGGCGAGCAGUGCUGGGUCCUCUCCUUAGCUGAGUCUUUACUACCAGGCAAAUGAUCAGAAUAAGGAUUUUGGAAAAAGCCUCCAUGAAAGCUCCCAAUCAUGGAAACUGGGCCACAUAGCAGCCAACUUGGUCUCCAAAACUCUGAGAUGAGAGUUCCUGAUAAGAAUGAAGACAUCACGGAGAGGAUAGGUGCCCUCCCAUCAGCACUUGGCAGUGGGGUCAUGUGGUUCUGGCUGCUGGAGGAGGUGUCCUGGGAAAUCACUUAGCUCUGCUCUCUGGACUGAUCUUCAGGGACAGAGACUAGCUCCUACACGGCCUGGAUUGGGGCCAGGAAUAGGCAUAGGGGGAAAGGCUAAAGCUGCGUAAGAAUUUGCUCUUUCAAGUCAGGGUUGCUCUGAAUCAGAUUCAGGCUGGGGCUGUCCACGGUGGGAUGUUUCCCUGCCUGUCUUCCCUUUUAAAUGCAAGAUCUUUGAGGGAAAGACUGAGCAUACGCACUGUCGCUCCCCAGCAACUACCUGACGCCUGUCACAAUUAUAGGUGAUGGAUGAAUCAUUGGUGAAUGAACUGGAAAAGCUAGAAAGAAGAGGGAGAGAUGAGUGGCUUUAAAAUCCAUGGGGGGAAAAUCCAAUUUGAAGCAAAGCAGUAUUAGAAAGCAUGCAAUUAUGUAUAGCGAAUAUUACCUCAAUGAUGGAAAAAUUCAAAAUACAUGAAGAGAAGUCUCCGUGACCAUUUUCUCAAUAAGGUGUGAAACUAUUGAACAAGGAGAAUAUGAAAAUGACUCCUGAUUCUUUACUUAGCAUGUGGAAAGAUGGAUAAAGUAUUGUGAAGCAAACCUAAACCCACCCAGGAUGAGUGUGUCAAACUCUGGAAAAAUGGGACAGAGUUCCUACAGCCCUGUGUAUGGGCCCCCAAAGUGUCACUGGUAGCUAUGCACCAUUUUUGGGGACUAGAACAGGACUUGAGACACUGAGGAGACAUCCUGCAUCUGCUGCUGCUCUGUGUGUGAUACUCUCAUUUCAGAUGGCUCCAGGAAUUCAUCUCAACUUUGUGGCAAUCACCUUUCUCAUUCAUGAUUUCCAAUUUAAGCCACAGGCAGUCUAUUCAUCCUAUUUAUAACAUUGGAGAUAAUUAAAGGGGUCAUUUUGAAGUGUUCCUGAAUUACAGUUUUAAACCCAGAAUACACUGUAAGUCAUUGACAGAAUGCUAUCUGUAUAGCUGUAUCUAUAGCUAUUUCUAUAUUAUAAAUAAUUUUAGUCCUAUUCCUGGUACUACUUUAAAAUUUUCUUAAUUUUCUAGAGCAGAAUCAUCCAGAUCACAGAUCUUGAAGCAUAUCCAUCUCUUUCACAUGCAGCCUUUGCUCUUCAUGAUCUCUAAUUUAUGUAUUGGAAAAUCCUAUUAAACCAGACUUGACAGGGCAAAACAAUAGUAAUUUGCUUUUUCUGUUGAUUGCAAAUGUGGCUUCUG
rnacentral:lncRNA from 1 species